rnacentral:rRNA from 1 species
UGCCAGCAGCCGCGGUAAGACGAACCGUGCGAACGUUGUUCGGAAUCACUGGGCUUAAGGGGCGCGUAGGCGGUCGGGCAAGUCCGGGGUGAAAUCCUGCAGCUUAACUGUAGAAGUGCCUUGGAUACUGCUCGGCUCGAGGGAGGUAGGGGUCUGUGGAACUUCUGGUGGAGCGGUGAAAUGCGCUGAUAUCAGAAGGAACGCCGGUGGCGAAAGCGGCAGACUGGACCUCUUCUAACGCUGAGGCGCGAAAGCUAGGGGAGCAAACGGGAUUAGAUACCCCGGUAGUCCUAGCCCUAAACGAUGAGCACUAGAUUGCAGACUAGUCAUGGGUUUGCAGUCGAAGCAAAAGUGUUAAGUGCUCCGCCUGAGGAGUAUGGUCGCAAGGCUGAAACUCAAAGGAAUUGACGGGGGCCCGCACAAG